rnacentral:lncRNA from 10 species
UGCACCCACAUUUUUGGGUAUCUUCACAGCAGCACCCCACUCUACUGGUACCAAUUUACUGCAUUAGUCUAUUUUUAUACUGAUGAAAAAGACAUACCUGAGACUGGGUAAUUUAUAAAGAAAAAGAGGUUUAAUGGACUCACCAUUCCACAUGGCUGGGGAGGCCUCACAAUCAUGGUGGAAGGUGAAAAGCACGGUCUUACAUGGUGGCACGCACCAGAUUAUAAAGAAAAAGAGGUUUAAUGGACUCACCAUUCCACAUGGCUGGGGAGGCCUCACAAUCAUGGUGGAAGGUGAAAGGCACGGUCUUACAUGGUGGCACGCACCAGAGAAUGAACCAAGCAAAAGGAGAAAUGCCUUAUAAAAUCAUCAUUGCUAGCGCAGCAGUCUGAGAUCGAACGGCAAGGCGGCAGUGAGGCUGGGGUGGGGAAAAAACAGAGCAGAAAAGCUGAAAAUUCUGAAAAUUAGGGCACUUCUCUCCCUCCAAAGGAAUGCAGCUCCUCACCAGCAAUGCAACAAAGCUGGAUGGAGAAUGACUUGACGAGUUGAGAGAAGAAGGCUUCAGAUGAUCAAACUUCUCCGAGCUAAAGAAGGAAGUUUGAACCCAUCGCAAAGAAGCUAAAAACCUUGAAAAAAGAUUGGACAAAUGGCUAACUAGAAUAACCAAUGUAAAGAAAUAACUAAGAUCAGAGCAGAACUGAAGGAAAUAGAGACAUAAAAAACCGUGAAAAAAUCAAUGAUUCCAGGAGCUGGUUUUUUGAAAAGAUCAACAAAAUUGAUAGACUGCUAGCAAGACUAAUAAAGAAAAGAGAGAAGAUCAAAUAGAUGCAAUAAAAUAUGACAACGGGGAUAUCACCACUGAUCCCACAGAAAUACAAACUACCAUCAGAGAAUACUAUAAACACCUUAACGCAAAUUAACUAGAAAAUCUAGAAGCCAUGGAUAAAUUCCUCGACAGAUAAACUCUCCCAAGACUGAACCAGGAAGAGGUUGAAUCCCUGAAUACAACAAUAGCAGGCUCUGAAAUUGAGGCAAUAAUUAAUAGCCUAACAACCAAAAAACAUCCAGGACCAGACAGAU